rnacentral:lncRNA from 1 species
UGCUGUUAAAGAGUAAAGCAGUUAGUAGUUAGAGAUUAGUUAUAGAUAAUUGCCUAUAUAAACAAACGUAAACAUUGUUAUACUCAUUGAAAACAAGAUUUAUUUUCACUCUCAUUCUAAUUGGGUUCCCAUCUUCACGGAGCAUUGAGCUUUCCAAGAUGGUAUCAGACGAUUGCUCUUCUGUGAAGGUGAUCCCAAGAUCACGUCCGUCCCAAGAUCACGUCCGUCCUCCUAAAGGUGAAAUCGAUUCUGUGAAGGUGAAAGGUAAAAUCGAUUCAAGAUCGCGAUUUUCCGGAUCGUGGAAGACGACGAUUUUCCGGCUCGCGAUUUCCUAUUUCUGUGAAAGAAAUUUCCGACGAUUUCCGUUCAAGCAGAAUGCGAGGUUCUUUCCGGUGAUUUCCCUUCCGGCGAUUACAGAACGCAAUUCUUCCGUUCACAGCGACGCACUGUAACAGGAUUUGGCACGGACUGGACAUGGAUUGAACGACGCAGAUGUGGAUGUUUGCUAUUGGAUUCUGGACGACGAUGACCGGAGUUGGGGGAGAGAUGAUCGGAG